GUGUGGUAGGGGCAGAGGGAAUUCCCGCUGUAGUGGUGAAAUGCGUAGAUAUCGGGAAGAACACCUGUGGCGAAGGCACUCUGCUGGGCCAUAACUGACGCUCAUUGACGAAAGCCAGGGAGCGAUAGGGAUUAGAUAAACCUGUAGUCCUGACCGUAAACGAUGAACACUAGGUGUCGGGGGAAUCGACCCCCUCUGUGUCGUAGCCAACGCGUUAAGUGUUCCGCCUGGGGAGUACGCACGCAAGUGUGAAACUCAAAGGAAUUGACGGGGGCCCGCACAAGCGGUGGAGUAUGUGGUUUAAUUCGAUGCAACGCGAAGAACCUUACCAGGGUUCGACAUCCUGCGAACCCCUGAGAAAUCGGGGGGUGCCUUCGGGAACGCAGUGACAGGUGGUGCAUGGCUGUCGUCAGCUCGUGUCGUGAGAUGUUGGGUUAAGUCCCGCAACGAGCGCAACCCACGUCUUUAGUUGCCAGCAUUUAGUUGGGCACUCUAGAGAGACCGCCGGUGAUAAACCGGAGGAAGGUGUGGAUGACGUCAAGUCAUCAUGCCCCUUACAUCCUGGGCUACACACGUACUAUAAUGCUACGGACAAAGAGUAGCGAUCCCGCGAGGGCUAGCAAAUCUCAUAAACCGUGGCUCAGUUCAGAUCGUAGGCUGCAACUCGCCUACGUGAAGGAGGAAUCACUAGUAAUCGCAGGUCAGCAUACUGCGGUGAAUACGUUCCCGGGCCUUGUACACACCGCCCGUCACACCAUGGAAGUUGACCACGCCCGAAGCCGUUACUCCAACCUUUGUGGAGGAGGACGUCGAAGGUGGGGCUGAUGACUGGGGUGAAGUCGUAACAAGGUAGCCGUACCGGAAGGUGCGGCUGGAUCACCUCCUAA
rnacentral:rRNA from 1 species